UACGAAGGGGGCUAGCGUUGUUCGGAAUUACUGGGCGUAAAGCGCGCGCAGGCGGUCUUCCAAGUCAGUGGUGAAAGCCCGGAGCUCAACUCCGGAACUGCCAUUGAAACUGUGAGACUUGAGGAUGAGAGAGGUGAGUGGAAUUCCCAGUGUAGAGGUGAAAUUCGUAGAUAUUCGGAAGAACACCAGUGGCGAAGGCGACUUACUGGACACAUAUUGACGCUGAGGUGCGAAAGCGUGGGGAGCAAACAGG
rnacentral:rRNA from 1 species